CGUCUAUCCUGUGAACUCCCCCAGGGCCGGAAGGCAGCAAGGGUCAAUGGGCUCUGUCGGGUGCGCGGGGUCCCCUAUGUCC
rfam:Mycobacterium sp. SP-6446 contig_130, whole genome shotgun sequence.